UGGGGGAUAUUGCACAAUGGGCGAAAGCCUGAUGCAGCAACGCCGCGUGAGGGAAGACGGUUUUCGGAUUGUAAACCUCUGUCUUCGGUGAAGAAACAAAUGACGGUAGCCGAGGAGGAAGCCACGGCUAACUACGUGCCAGCAGCCGCGGUAAUACGUAGGUGGCAAGCGUUGUCCGGAAUUACUGGGUGUAAAGGGAGCGCAGGCGGGGAGACAAGUCAGCUGUGAAAACUAUGGGCUUAACCCAUAAACUGCAGUUGAAACUGUGUUUCGUGAGUGGAGUAGAGGGAGGCGGAAUGCCGAGUGUAGCGGUGAAAUGCGUAGAUAUUCGGAGGAACACCAGUGGCGAAGGCGGCCUACGGGGCUCUAACUGACGCUGAGGCUCGAAAGUGUGGGGAGCAAACA
rnacentral:rRNA from 1 species